CAGUAGCCGCGGGAAUACGUAGGGUGCAAGCGUUGUCCGGAAUUAUUGGGCGUAAAGAGCUCGUAGGCGGUUUGUCGCGUCUGCUGUGAAAUCCCGAGGCUCAACCUCGGGCUUGCAGUGGGUACGGGCAGACUAGAGUGCGGUAGGGGAGAUUGGAAUUCCUGGUGUAGCGGUGGAAUGCGCAGAUAUCAGGAGGAACACCGAUGGCGAAGGCAGAUCUCUGGGCCGUAACUGACGCUGAGGAGCGAAAGCGUGGGGAGCGAACAGGAUUAGAUACCCCAGUAGUCCCUGUCUCUUAUAC
rnacentral:rRNA from 1 species